rnacentral:rRNA from 1 species
UUCGUAGGUGAACCUGCGGAAGGAUCAUUGUCGAAACCUGCCAAGCAGAAUGACCCGCGAACUAGUGAAAAUAAAAACACGCGGUGUGGGGUGCGUCAGCUCCCCRCUCGCCACGUCGCGAGGGGUAUGGUCGGCUUCUCGUCCGCGAGCGUCGUUCCGUUCCCCCCGUGGCGCAACAACGAACCCCGGCGCGGAYCGCGCCAAGGAAAUUCUAACGAGAGAGCUCGCUCCCCUCGCCCCGGAGACGGUGUGUGUGCGGGUAGCGGCGCCUUCUUUCACAAUCCAAAACGACUCUCGGCAACGGAUAUCUAGGCUCUCGCAUCGAUGAAGAACGUAGCGAAAUGCGAUACUUGGUGUGAAUUGCAGAAUCCCGUGAACCAUCGAGUCUUUGAACGCAAGUUGCGCCCCAAGCCUUUAGGCCGAGGGCACGUCUGCCUGGGUGUCACGCAUCGUUGCCCCCCUCAACCCUCGCAUUGCGGGGAGUAAUGCGGGCGGGGCGGAAAAUGGCCUCCCGUGCGCCACUCGGCUCGCGGUUGGCCCAAAUCAGAGUCCUCGGCUUCGCGUGUUGCGACUUUCGGUGGUCGAAAUGAACCUCGAUGUCCCGUCGCACCCGCGUCGUCGUAGCACGACUCCUUGACCCUGACGCGUCGCCAGGCUGCGACGCUCGCUUCGCGA